UGCUAGGCUGAUCUGGUGCUGCAUGUACGACCUCAUCACUUGCCAGGGCUGAGCUGGCUGAUCUGAGGGGCGAGGCUGGUGUCCCCUUCCGUCUGGCCCUCAUUAACAUGGGGGCAGCCCUCUAGGAGCUGUAUGCUUGGUCAAAGAGGGUGCCCUUCCCGGGAAGGAAGAGCUGUCCUUUGGUCAAGGGUACACAGAUGCUGUACUGAUGACCCAAAGAAAAACAGCUGUUGAGCUCCUCCACCAACAUUGUACUAUGACCCUUUCUUAAUUUCUGGAGUCCUCAAUGCAUU
rnacentral:sRNA from 1 species